CAGUGCCAUGGACGUCUGAGCUAAGCUUGAUAAAAUUGAGUAUAAAGGCGCAGAUAUCUGCGCCUUUUUU
rnacentral:sRNA from 1 species